UGACAAUGAUGUCAUUCGCGGUAAAUCCUCCAUUUCAAUCAUGUCGCCGUUAAUUUUUAACUUUUAAAUCGUGCACCACGUAUUCGUCAAGAUAAAUCACCUAGCCACUGGUCAAGACCGACUGGAGAAUCGUCACUGGUACAUUGUACACUGAUUCUCGAUGUUUACCUUAUACGUUGAUUAAACUCUUAUGAGAAUUGCUUCUGCAAUGGAAUUUUCUUUCACACGAUAAUACAAUUACUAAGAUUGAAGCGAAAGCAACCGUCUAUCGUUCCAGUGUAAGAUAAUUGGAAUUUUUCUUGUGCUACGUCACCGCAAGGAAAGACCGCGCUAUUCGAACAUGGCGGAAACGACUACUCGUGUGUUUCUACUGUAUCGACGUUUCCGGAUCCGGUGAAACGUCAUUGGUCUGUAUAGUUGUUACGAAAAUACAAAUUUCAAGUGCGUUAUUAUACACAUUAAACAGUACUUUGAAGUUUCUAGUUGUUAAAAUAUUAUUUAAUGUUAAUUAAUAAAGUAUAUUAUACUUGUUCAGCUUAAUUCUCUUAAUGAACUGCCGAAUUUGUUAGUGUUUGAAUAAUUAUCUUUUUGUACGAGGAUAAUAAAAGUUAUUGCAUUGUAAUGAAUGGAAUGUAAAUUUGAAAAUAUUUUAAACAUAUAAUAUAUUCAUUUGUAUGCUUGUACAUAUCUUGCAUUCUUUUAUACAACAAAAUAUCUAUGACAACAGUAUAAUAGAGAACGGUAUACAAUAUAUAGUUAUAUCGGUAAUUCAUUCAUAAAUAUGAGAUGCAAAACAGCCUCGUUCUCUUAAGACAUAACGGUAUCGGGUCGUGAUUGCAUAAAAUACAUAAAUAAUUAUGUACUUUUCAUGAUUACUCUGAUGUACAGUCUUUCGGUAAGAACUUUUGCAUCGGUUUUUAUUCCGCCUCUACAGUUUCAUUUAUACUAAAGUUAUAUUAUAAUAGAUUCCAAAAACGAACGUACCAUUUUGUUAGAGAAAUUUUCUUUUUUUUCUUUCUGUUAAUAUCUCAAUAAAGAAUGGGCUUCUUUUUAAUACUGUUAGACUUUUGUGUAUAGUAAUCAAAGAAAAUAAUUACCGAUCAAUUCUGGUGAAACAAUUAUUAUCGUGCGUGAUUUUUUGUACUAAUUACGCUUACGGUUAGAGAUAUACCUACAUAAAUCCGUUGAUAGAAGGAACAUGAUAAUCUGUGCGACAUUUCUUUUUUUUUCAUUUUUCAAACGAAAGCGACAAGAAAAUUGCAUACGUAUUUCUUAAACAAGUACUUUCGGGUAUAAUAUGAAUGUUUGUAAAGUAGGCCAAAUCGGUUCGUGCUCCAUUAACAUUGAAAUUAGAGGUCAUGCUUUUUAACGCGUAUUAAACAUAUCCAUAAUUAAAUUUUUGUAAUUUUUAGUACAUGGUACACGUGCACUAUUUCACUUGUAUUAACGUAUCCGUUCAUACUGUUAGGCGAGAAACGCGAGAAGAAUACGGGAAACGUAUUUGGCAAAAUUACUUAAAGGAUACACAGAUUGAAGUACGGAUACGUUUAACACACGUGAAAUAGAGACCUCUAAUUGAAAUCUACGAACCGUGUAUCUUCGCAAAUAUCAUGGAGCGAUUUUGUUCGUUUAUAUCUUUAACAAGAGAGAAUAUCCGUUAGUGAAAAAAUAUGCUAUUUACACGUAAGGUAUCUAGUUGUGCGUCGAUUCGUUAAUUCGCCGUUAAGGGUGUAUCAAAAUCUACUUAAAGGGAUGAACGAUCUAUGCAGCCGUUAAUUCUCAUACAACCUAAUUCAUAUAACUAAAACAAAUCACACUUUUUUUCAUUACAAUUCGAAAGAAAAUGUUGAAGAAAAUGGCGAAUAAUUAAAAAAGAAGUACCUUUCCAGAAUUGUUUUUUCUUUUUCGAAGGUGUAACGGUAUGUGUGUAUUUUGCAAACUGCUAGAACUGAAAUCAAUAGCUUCAAAUCAAGCCUAAUUUGUUUGCAGUCGCAAUGAAAAAGAAGGUACAAUUUAUUUUAGUUAGAUGUAUUAUACUGCAAACCCUUUUUUUCUUUACCAGUUAUAAAUAUGCACGCGUAUCAUUUCGGCUGGAGAAUCCUAAUUCGUUAAAAAUCGACGAACUUACGAAGAGAUAUUAUCCCUCGGGAUUAGAAGUAAUUGUACUUUGAUCGAAAAUAUAUAAACUUUGAAAGAAAGAUGCAUAUUAUUUCAGGGAAUUUCGAAUUGCAAGCAUUGUCGGCAGUUUUUUUUCGAUAGAUUAAAGAUAAAGAUUGAUCGUGUUCUAUGUAUCCUAGCGUGACAACUAAUUACAAUAUAAAUGUUUCUCUGUUAGAUAACGAGUGCAUUAACGAGAAUGAUGAGAACACACAAAAUCCAAUAUUUGUAAAGUUCGAUCGACUAUCGGAUUCGAUCGAGUGGAAGGUAAGAGAGGCAUAGAAAAUAGUUUUCGAGGAAUGAAGUACGAAUGUAUACAGGGUGUCACAACAUUUUUGAUACUGAUAGAAAUUCGUUUCGUGUAUGGCCUUAUUCUCUUUUUUUCGGUAAUUAUAUAGACUAUGGUACACCUCAGCGAUUUCAAUGAUUUUUACAUAUACACCCGUCAAUAACUUUGAAUUAUAUGACUUGUGCACACUAUGCUGUGAUUAGUAGUGUUAGUAUUAACUGAUAAUGUUCAAUCAUAGUAACUUAUUAUAAAAUUUAAUAUGAAUUGUAAUUUUUUCAAACAAUAGCAUAUCAAAUCGGUAAAGUGUACUUAUUCUAUAUAGUUACCUUUUUUUCUUCUACUAUACAUACUAUACACAAGGUACCAUCAUGUCAAAGUAUUUUCAGUACCAAUUUUUUUGUUUUUCUCUCAUAUUUGUAGGGUCGGUUCUGUACAGUUAUUAUGGCGUUUUAACCUUCUAAUGCUAAAUCACUUUGUCACUUGUUACAAAUGGUAAGAAAUUAGCGAUGGGAAUCGGGAUAAAGUUUCAGAAUAUAGUGAUUUAAGGAUGUGCGGGUACCUGAUAUUACAGGCUCGGACGGGUGUCCGAUACAUGCGUGCAGUCGGAUAGCUCGACUAUUUCGGGUCAGGUCAGAUAAAGUCGGGCAGAUUCGAACGAGCUUCCGCGGACCGCAGCCCGCGACCCAACUCUCAUGUGCUUGUUAAUGCUUGCAAUAAACAUGUUCAAAAUCUAUUUUGUAUAAAAUGAACAUACAGGUGACAUCGAAUGAAAUUCAUUUCAAAUAAAUUCGUUACAAGUAUUAUCUUUCCACACAAAAAUUAUCUUAUUCCAAAAUUCCACAUAAAACAGAUUUUGUAAAUGCUUAUUGCAAGUAUUAACAAGUAAAUAAGAAUUAGGCCGCGGCCCGCGGCCCGCGGGAACUCGUCCGAGUCUGCCCGACUUUAUCCGACCUCAUCCGAAACAGUCGGAGUACCCGACUGCACGUAUGUAUCGGACACCCGCCCGAUGUUUUCCGAACCGACCCGAAUAGUCGGGAACCUGACACAUUAGUCGAGUCGCACAUCCCUAAUAGUGAUACGUUGAAUUCAAACAAACUGGAGCAGUAAUGCAACGUGACUUACCACCUUAAUUUUUCUGUCGUCGUAUACAUUUUGUAUUUAUGUCAUAUAUUGUUGUAUAUAUUCUUUGCAAUUAUAUUCGUUAGUUUCUAAUCUUAUAUGUUUUAUUAUAAAUACUGUUGCAUUUUGAUUAUGAUAAAUAUUUAAACAUAUUUAUCAAGAAAUUGUAAUGGGUUUAUUUUAAAAAUAGAUGUCAAGCAAUGAUAAACACAUUGUACUGAUAACGAUAUUUGAAAUUAAAAUGUCUCUUUCAAAGAAGACUACGAAUAUUUAUGCGUUUAUGCAUUAUACGUAUUGUGUUACUUUCAGAGAUUGUCCCGAUGCUCAUCACUAUAAUAAACAAAUCAAACAUUUCCCUGCUAUAUUGUUUCAUGUUUAUUGUCGAUAGGUAACUGAAACAACAUAGUAAGUAACGUAAAGAUUCGUAAUUCCAAAACCGGCUACAGGCGUUUAGUCCAAACUGCUCUCUUCGGUUUGUGUCUCAACCAGAUGGCGCAAUAUCAUGUAGAAGGCACUUAGGAUCAAAGGGAUGUAACUAACAUAUUUUGCAAAUUUUUGAAUUAAGAAUCAUUUCUUUCAAAUCGUUAAAUGUAAUGUUAUAAUACUUACUGAGCGUCCCUGAACUAAGUAAACCUCUGUACAGUCCACGAUAAAUGAUCUCUACAAACACUUCAGACCGAACACGUGUAGCCAGCUUAUCACUCCGCGUUAAUUAAUACGAAUUUAAUUUCAUCAAUUAGCAUUUCAAGGUUACGAACGAUACCAAAAUGUGAGAAAUAUUUUCUUAGAAAGGCCAGCACAAAUUUGGCAUAACGUAUGUUGUAUGCAUCUAGAUACCUUUUUUAACACCUUUCGAUCACACAGGGCACGCAACAUUCUUAUGCUUAAUAUAUACACACCAUACAAAGCAUUACAUGAUUACAUACGUUAAUUUUAUACAUUUCUUCCAUAAUAAAAUAUCCGAUUCUCUAUUAUGUUAUACUUCACACGGAGAACGAUCAGCUCCACGCGAGACUUGCAUCCCGCGCAUCCAGCAAUCGGCAACGACAUUGAUACAUAACACACACGGUACAUCAACUUUUUCGCAGUUAUCUUUUGGGGAACAUAGAGAAUCCUCGCAAACCGUUCUUUUGUUCGAGGCCAAAUUUUCUUUGUCUGAUUGACGCGUCCUCGUGAAACUAAAAUUCUCCUUGACAAAGACUCGGCCCAAUUUAACCCGUCCAAUUUCUCUAAUGAUGAUAUGCUACCUUAUAUUUAAUCGAUCGUUUUCACAAUCAUUUCGGGCAUUUCUUGUAAUAACGUGAUUAAUACUAACGUAAUUUAAUCACGUUCCUUCAUUUUAUUUACAGUUAAUCACACCAUACGUAUUUUAGGAGCAGCCAACUUCCUUUUGUUCCUUUUUUUUUAAUGAAUUUUUAACGAUUUAGUAACUGUAACUACUUGUUGCGUUACCAAAUUUUUAUUUAAAACAUUUUUCUCUAUCUCUUGUACUUUAAUUAGUUCAAGCUAAUGUGGGUAAAUCUACCCAUACCAGAGUGCUAGAUCUUUCUAUGAUUGAGUUGGAUCUUCGAUUAAAUUAUGAUACUUAAUUGACAAAUAAAAUUGAAAUUUAUCUCGUAAUAUAACAGCAGCUGCUCCUUUUAUACAACAUACGACUGUGGAUUGUAAAAUGUGUAAAUGUAUAGUAAUUUUCGUCAAAUUUAUAGCAAGCUCACUGCACUCUGUUGAAUUACUGUACUGGAUGGAUCAGGAAUGGGGUUUGGGUAUCACGUGGAGGUGACUACACUGUCACUUCUUGUAAUAAAUUACAGCGCAUUUGGGAGACUAAAGUAUCAACGUUAAUAGGCGUACGUCGUUAGCCCUAUUCUUUUUUUUUUUUUUUUGGAAAAUACUGGGUUAGCGACUACCCUAGGAACAACGUUGCCUCUUUCGUCACUAUAGUUUCAUAUUUUUUUUUUCCUCUUUUUAUACAUAGUAAAAUCCAAUCUACACGCGCCGCGUGUAUAAUAAAUAAAUACUUUCGAAAGUGCGUAUAAAUCGGUGUAUAAUGUGUUACAUAUAAACAAUUCGGCUCUGUUACAAUUUGUCAGAAGAUUUUUUUCAGCAGAUAUUGAAACAUUCUUUUCUUUUUUUCGUUCGGUGAAAAUAAUCUUUUGACUAGUACGAUGAAUAUGGGUCGUUUUUUUGAUCUGCGAAUUAUAUCUUAAAUAGUGAAGAAAUGAUUCGAUUGGUAGGUGAAUAGUAACAAAGACCUUACUUUUCCAUAGGCGUCGACCACGAGGAUAUCAAGUAUCGAUGACGACCAUAAAAAAAAUCAGCACUGUCACUGAAUGAUUGAAUGACAACUUCGCAUCGUUCUUGUCCCAUUCCUGACGAGCAAAAGGCUCUGUUCCAAUGCUCGUCGACCACUUCCGACGUCUACUUUCUUGAAGAACUCCGACACCUAUAACAGAAUGUCAAAUACUCUUGUUAUCGUUUAACCCUUUCACUAUUGUAGUCACUCGCCACGAAACGAUCUAUGGGCAACUAUGUAUAUUCCUACGAUUAGGGAUGUGCGGCCCAACUAAUAUGUCGGGUUUCCGACUAGUCGAGUCGGUUCGGAAAACAUCGGGCAGACUCGGGCGAGCGUCCGACGCAUGCGUGCAGUCGGGUUCUACUACUAUUUCGGGUUCGGUCGGGUACACUCGGGCUGAUUCGGACGAGCUCCCACGGGCCGCAACCCAACUCGCCCAACAAUCCCGUAAUAUCAGGUACCCGCACAUCCCUAAUAUGGGCAACUAUAGUCCUUUGAUACAAAACAUAUGUCAGUCUCCUUGCAAACUGACGAUUCGUAGUACGAAGCCUGAACGAUGUGCUUUUUUAAUUACUUACCUCGUAAUAAUCGUAUUCCGUGAAGAAAUCCGAAAUCACGACCGAUAUCAAUCCCCCCAUUGUGAGCGAACCAUUUCCAAAUAAAGCAUGUAUUUGUGGCCAAUAUGCUUUAAGAUGACGCCACGCAAGGAAUUGACCCUCGGAAUUGGUAGCGACAGAGGCUAUAACAGUUUCAACGUCUUGUGACCUCACCAUUUCUCGAUCCAACGAACGUAAAAGGUAACGUUGCAGUAACCAAUGAUCUGUUGUCGCUCCCAGGGCUUGCAGCAUUAUUCUUUUCUCACUGGGUACCUGAGUUUGUUGAUAAUUCUGCCAACAAUGAUUCCACUCUUUUUCACCGCCAAAUUUUAUUCCUGUAUAUAAAAACACGUGAUACGUUUCGUUUGGAAAAUGGAUUUCAGUUACGGUCGAGCUCCAGUAUCCGCGGCUAACCAGGCAGAACGGGAGGACUAUAUUUUUGUAAAAUAAUGUUACCUGCAACGUAUACAACAUCUCGUAUAUUAGGUGCAAUUCGUUUGCCUCUUAACAUCCAAUCUUCGAAGAGAGUUUUUGCUGGUUUAACGACAUCUUCUAACUUUAUAGACACAGCUGAUUGAAGUACCGCAAUUCUUAAUAAUCUGUCAACAAAUGGAUAUAACAUUAUAAUAAAUCAGACAUUAUUAUUUAAAA